GGUGGCUUAGUGGUAGAGUGCUUGCCUAACAUGCAUGAAGGCCUGGGUUCAAUUCCUCAGUACCA
rnacentral:tRNA from 1 species